rnacentral:tRNA from 1 species
GGCAGUGUGGCAUAAUGGCUAAUGUGCUGGCCUGGGAUUCGGAGACCUGGGUUCCAUGCCUAGCUCUGCUG